AGAACAGGGCAAAAAAGAAAUCGCUCACGGUUGGAGGGAUUUCCGGUGCUGUUGCUGAGCUGCAAAAAAAUUUUGCCAACUUGGGCGUCUCGGUGUUGGUUAUUCUAUAUAUUUAUAUGUUCCCCUGAUUUAAUGUCUUAGUAAAGAAAUAUUUACUGUGCGUGUUCUAGACUACAUCCAGAAGUAGCUAGCUAGCCAGUAAGAAGCAUGUCUGAAGCCACCGUGGCCGACACUCGCCGGUUAAACUCCAAGCCGCAGGACCUGACGGACGCUUACGGACCUCCGAGUAAUUUCCUGGAGAUUGACGUCUACGAUCCGCAGACUGUCGGCGUCGGGAGGAACCGAUUCACCACCUACGAAGUCCGCAUGAGGACCAACCUCCCCAUUUUCAAGUUGAAAGAAUCUUGCGUGCGAAGAAGGUACAGUGACUUUGAGUGGCUGAAAAAUGAGCUGGAACGAGACAGUAAGAUUGUUGUGCCUCCUCUCCCUGGGAAGGCACUGAAGAGGCAGCUCCCUUUCCGUGGAGAUGAGGGAAUAUUUGAGGAGUCGUUCAUUGAAGAGAGGAGAGUCGGACUUGAACAGUUCAUCAACAGAAUUGCUGGUCAUCCCUUGGCUCAGAACGAGCGCUGUCUUCACAUGUUCCUGCAGGAGGAGAGCAUCGAUCGCAACUACAUCCCUGGAAAAGUAUGAAUGAAGGGUUUUUUUUGUUUGUUUUUUUUGCAAGCUGUUUGCAUGUGUUGACCGCAUGAAUGUUCCUUCAGAUGCUACAGUAAGACUAAGGCGCCUCCUCCCCUCAGAAGACUGCCUCAUCUCUGUGCUUAUACUUGCCUAGCACGCUUACUCAGGUGCUCUUAAACAAAACACUGAACCCAAUUCUGAAAAAGACAACCUACAGUCAUAAUUUUUUUGCAGUCCAGGCUUUACCUUCUUUUAAAAAAAUGAUCUAAAUUGUUUAGAGGCCCUACAAUAUUGACUUGAAUAGACUGCACGAGUAUGUCACAUUGCAUGAAUGAUUUCUAUCAUGUUCAUUCACGGUAAGGACCAUUCUAUAACUGGUAGCCCAGUCCCCUAAAGUCUGUCUAUGCCCCGGUCACGUAGAUCCUCAUCCAGUAGGCCUCAUUCGCUGCGUUAUUCCAAAACGACAUAUAAAACGUGUUCAACAUGUAGCACGGCAGACGUGAGGAGUGAAUUUGGGACCACGCAUCAUUCUCGUUCCAUGUUUCAUUUAUGCACCUUUUCGAACAAUAUGUUUUUCUUCUUUUUUUUUUAUAUCAAAAAGUAGUGUUAAGGCAUUGUGUGUUUUCUCGGCUUCUCUCUUUAUGUCGGUGUUGGAGCACUGCGUUUGGGAUCGUACACCUUCAGUCAAAAUAAAAAUCACUGAGGCUCGCUGCCUUUUUCCUCAUCCUUCUCAAGAUUAGUUCUUGUUUUUAUAAAGAUUUCUAAUAAUGCUGAUUCCAAACUAUAUACAUCGAACGUGUACAAGUGUAGUACUUCAUUUUCGUGAUUUGUCUUGUCAUUUCUGCCCCCUUGAAUUAAACUUCCUCUGCCUGCUUUA